AUUGAACGCUGGCGGCAGGCCUAACACAUGCAAGUCGAACGAGUGGCGGACGGGUGAGUAAUGUCUGGGAAACUGCCUGAUGGAGGGGGAUAACUACUGGAAACGGUAGCUAAUACCACAUACCAUCGGAUGUGCCCAGAUGGGAUUAGCUUGUGGGUGGGGUAACGGCUCCCCAAGGCGACGAUGCCUAGCUGGUCUGAGAGGAUGACCAGCCACACUGGACGUGAGACACGGUCCAGACUCCUACGGGAGGCAGCAGUGGGUAAUAUUGCACAAUGGGCGCAAGCCUGAUGCAGCCAUGCCGCGUGUAUGAAGAAGGCCUUCGGGUUGUAAAGUACUUUCAGCGGGGAGGCGUUACCCGCAGAAGAAGCACCGGCUAACUCCGUGCCAGCAGCCGCGGUAAUAC
rnacentral:rRNA from 1 species